UUCGAAAUUGCCGACUCUACUCCAAAGAUACACUGAAAGAGGAAAUCCAAGUUGGGAUGGGACCAGCCGACAAAUUUCGCUACCUAUCAUACCCAGAGCAAAAUGGUACAUGAAAAAUUCAAGGAAUUAGUGUUUUUCAAUGUUAUGACAAGCAAUUUAUUCUUCCCUCUUGUGUACGUCCCAAUCAUUUGCCAUCCUCGCAAAAUCAUCUUCUUCUUCAAAAUUGUCGACUCUACUCUAAAGGUACAUUGAAAGAAGUAUAGGUUGGUUCGUUUCAACAAAAAAAAUUAUUCUCUUUGUCUGUUUCUAAUUUUGGUGUCAUGUUCACCUCAUUUUUUUCUACUUAGUUUCUAAAUAAUUUUUUCCUCUUUUAAUUCCUCUAAUCCCUAAUUUUUUUAAUGACUUCCCAGUCAUUCGCCAUCCUCACAAAAUCAUCUUAUUCUUCGA